AUUGAACGCUGGCGGCAGGCCUAACACAUGCAAGUCGAGCGAGCGGCGGACGGGUGAGUAAUGUAUGGGGACUGCCCGAUAGAGGGGGAUAACUACGGGAAACGGUAGCUCAUACCGCAUACUAUCGGAUAACCCAUAUGGGAUUAGCUGGUAGGUGAGGUAAUGGCUCACCUAGGCGUCGAUCCCUAGCUGGUCUGAGAGGAUGAUCAGCCACCCUGUGACUGAGACACGGCCCAGUCUCCUACGGAGGCAGAAGGGGGGAAUAUUGCACAAUGGGCGCAAGCCUGAUGCAGCCAUGCCGCGUGUAUGAAGAAGUCCCUAGGGUUGUAAAGUUCUUGCAGUCGGGAGGCGUUACCGACAGAAGAAGCACCGGCUAACUCCGUGCCAGCCGCCGCGGUAAUAC
rnacentral:rRNA from 1 species